rnacentral:rRNA from 1 species
UGGGGAAUUUUGGACAAUGGGCGAAAGCCUGAUCCAGCAAUGCCGCGUGUGUGAAGAAGGCCUUCGGGUUGUAAAGCACUUUUGUCCGGAAAGAAAUCCUUGGCUCUAAUACAGUCGGGGGAUGACGGUACCGGAAGAAUAAGCACCGGCUAACUACGUGCCAGCAGCCGCGGUAAUACGUAGGGUGCAAGCGUUAAUCGGAAUUACUGGGCGUAAAGCGUGCGCAGGCGGUUUGCUAAGACCGAUGUGAAAUCCCCGGGCUCAACCUGGGAACUGCAUUGGUGACUGGCAGGCUAGAGUAUGGCAGAGGGGGGUAGAAUUCCACGUGUAGCAGUGAAAUGCGUAGAGAUGUGGAGGAAUACCGAUGGCGAAGGCAGCCCCCUGGGCCAAUACUGACGCUCAUGCACGAAAGCGUGGGGAGCAAACAGGAUUAGAUACCCUGGUAGUCCACGCCCUAAACGAUGUCAACUAGUUGUCGGGGAUUCAUUUCCUUAGUAACGUAGCUAACGCGUGAAGUUGACCGCCUGGGGAGUACGGUCGCAAGAUUAAAACUUAAAGGAAUUGACGGGGUUCAUAGCUGUUUCCU